AGGUUUUCCUGAACAUAUAUGAAUUAUUUAUGUUGAUGGGCAGCACAUUAAAAAUGCAUUCUUGCAAGAUUAUACUAUCCAAAUUAAUAGAGUUUAUAUAUCCUUGCAAAUAAUUUACUAGUUUAUACACAUUACUAGUAAACAAUUAGAUUAUUUUUACACAAGAAAUGAAUCAUUUCUAAAGUGAAUCACAAGAGGGUG